AGAACGAACGCUGGCGGCAUGCCUAACACAUGCAAGUCGAACGAGACCUUCGGGUCUAGUGGCGCACGGGUGCGUAACGCGUGGGAAUCUGCCCUUGGGUCCGGAAUAACUCAGAGAAAUUUGAGCUAAUACCGGAUGAUGACGUAAGUCCAAAGAUUUAUCGCCCAGGGAUGAGCCCGCGUAAGAUUAGCUAGUUGGUGGGGUAAAGGCCUACCAAGGCGACGAUCUUUAGCUGGUCUGAGAGGAUGAUCAGCCACACUGGGACUGAGACACGGCCCAGACUCCUACGGGAGGCAGCAGUGGGGAAUAUUGGACAAUGGGCGAAAGCCUGAUCCAGCAAUGCCGCGUGAGUGAUGAAGGCCCUAGGGUUGUAAAGCUCUUUUACCCGGGAUGAUAAUGACAGUACCGGGAGAAUAACGCCCGGCUAACUCCGCGCCAGCAGCCGC
rnacentral:rRNA from 1 species